rnacentral:lncRNA from 1 species
CAAGACAAACACUAAACAGCCUCUGCCCUGAAAGGACUUAAGACCUAUUUGGAUGGGGAAAAAAAGAGAGAAGGAAAUUGAAGUGAAUGGAGGAGGCUUAGCAAUUGACCCAGGGUCCCCUGAUGCUAAGUGAUGCUCAGUUUGGUUUCAUCUGCUACUGAGAGAGAAGACGUUCACAUAUCUUUUGUAAAAUAGCCUUACAGAAAAAGGAGGGAGACAGAACAGAGAGAUAAAGAGAGCUCUUGAUUGCAGAUGGGACCUUAAAUCAGCAAGAAGGUCUGCUUGGCCUCUUCACUUAAUGGAUAAUAGAAAUCAUCUAUUCCAUUUUCAGUCU